UGGGUCUCGCUCGUUACCUGACUUAACAGGAUGCUUCACAGUACGAACUGACGACGGCCAUGCACCACCUCUCAGCGAAUCAGGCAAAGUCUUCAGCCUGGCCUACAUAUUGCUGUCGGUCCCCGGUAAGAUUGUCCGGCGUUGAAUCCAAUUAAACCGCAAGCUCCACCCGUUGUGGUGCUCCCCCGCCAAUUCCUUUAAGUUUCAGCCUUGCGGCCGUACUUCCCAGGUGGCUCGCUUCACGGCUUCCCUACGGCACCAGACAACGGUCGCACCAUGGCCUGACACCUAGCGAGCAUCGUUUACGGCUAGGACUACCCGGGUAUCUAAUCCGGUUCGUGCCCCCAGCUUUCGUCCCUUGCCGUCAGGUCCGUUCUGGUGAGACGCCUUCACCACUGGGGCCUUCAAGGAUUACAAGAUUUCACCCCUACCCCUGAAGUACCUCUCACCUCUCCCGGCCUCGAGCCAGACAGUAUCUCC
rnacentral:rRNA from 1 species